AGAGUUUGAUCAUGGCUCAGGAUGAACGCUAGCUACAGGCUUAACACAUGCAAGUCGAGGGGCAGCAUUGGAGUAGCAAUACUCAGAUGGCGACCGGCGCACGGGUGAGUAACACGUAUCCAACCUGCCGCUUACUCGGGGAUAGCCUUUCGAAAGAAAGAUUAAUACCCGAUGGUAUAAAGAGUUCGCAUGUUCUCUUUAUUAAAGAAUUUCGGUAAGCGAUGGGGAUGCGUUCCACUAGAUAGUUGGCGGGGUAACGGCCCACCAAGUCUACGAUGGAUAGGGGUUCUGAGAGGAAGGUCCCCCACAUUGGAACUGAGACACGGUCCAAACUCCUACGGGAGGCAGCAGUGAGGAAUAUUGGUCAAUGGACGAGAGUCUGAACCAGCCAAAGUAGCGUGAAGGAUGACUGCCCUAUGGGUUGUAAACUUCUUUUAUAAGGGAAUAAAGUGAGGGACGUGUCCCUUUUUGUAUGUACCUUAUGAAUAAGGAUCGGCUAACUCCGUGCCAGCCGCCGC
rnacentral:rRNA from 1 species